UUUUUUAUAGAACCCGAAGGCGUCGGCAAGAAAGCCGUUACGCAAAGCGAAUGGUUCGACCUCCCAACGACGACGCACGUACUCCGCCGGCACUGAAGAAUAGCAGUCGGCCCUCGUUCCAUAAGCAAGUUACAACGUGCAAGUUUUUAUACACACGCGCAGGGCGCCUCUCAACUAUCGCCCCGACGGACAAAUGUGAUUGGCCGCAAAGGAGCUUGCAACCGAAGGAGGGUUUCGAUCCCUAACCAAGGUGGACGGGGAACAUCAAUCCCGCCAUGCCCUUCCGCUCGACGCGCGAAUCUAGUGCGGCGAACGGACGCAUCCUCCGGGAUGGCGCAGAGAUUGGAUGUAGGACGCCAGGUAGUCGAGCUGUAUAAGGUAGUACUGCUGUGCCAUGUCUACACGCCGUUCUCUUUGUGUUAAAGGUGACAAGUGGUCUGUCGGAAAGCUGCUGACGCGCUGAUGUGGCGGCAGCGGCAGACGUUGUGGCGGAGUCUGGGAGAAUAUAGGGGGGAAAUGUGAUUUGUCAGCAGUGUACGUCGUAACCCAUGCUCUACCAUGUUGUGGGCCGGUGUCCUUCAUGGCGCAAGAUGCAAGUAGUGUUACUUGUGGCGAAAGUUCGAGCAGCGCCACCGAAAUGGCGCCAGAGACCACGUGGAUGCGAGGACGGACUUGCGCUCUAUCGGGAAAGUGUGACCUCUCCGGCGGCGGUCAUUCAUGUGGUUACCUUCGCAACUUGCGGAUACUUUAGCUCCUUGCAGCAGGUUAAGAAUCUCAUCGUGCAAUGCUGCGUCGGUUUUCUUAGGGGUUUGCCGCUGCGCGAUGGCUAGGCCUUUGUGGGAGGGUGGCGCUCAAAGAACCAAGGGUCACAAACUCGCCGAAGCUGGCGAGCUUUUCACACAUAGCCGAACGUAUGGAGUUGGGGCGGUUGGUUUAAGGAGACCUGCUGAGUUCAAUACCUAGGGUUUCUAGGUUUGGAGCGGCCUAGCAGGAUGCAGCAGACGUCAAGGUGAACCAUUUCAAAAGUAAGCUUCAACUAUGAUGACUAAAAACCCAUGCCGCUUACACGAUACUAUAUAGGGCUUUUUCAUAGUGUCCUGUUCAGUGCAUGGCGUAGUUUCGCGCUGGUCCACGACAUCGUCUUUUACGUACAGUCAGUACUUCGUAUUCAUAGGACCUAGCCCAAUACAGCGUCUAAAGCAUCUUUCAAAUAUAUAGUUAAUCGACGUAUUAUUACAGUUUGUUUAAG
rnacentral:lncRNA from 1 species